CGAGAGGCCCAAACGUUAUUCGGAAUUACUGGGCUUAAAGAGUUCGUAGGCGGUAUGAAAAGUAGGGUGUGAAAGCCCUCGGCUUAACCGAGGAAUUGCGCUCUAAACUGUCGUACUAGAGGAACCUAGAGGUGAGCAGAACAGAUGGUGGAGCGGUGAAAUGCGUUGAUAUCAUCUGGAAUACCGGAGGCGAAGGCGGCUCACUGGGGGUUUUCUGACGCUGAGGAACGAAAGCCAGGGUAGCGAACGGGAUUAGAUACCCCGGUAGUCCUGGCCGUAAACGAUGAGCACUAGGCCGGAGCCCUGCACAGGGUUUCGGCCGUAGCUAAAGUGUUAAGUGCUCCGCCUGGGGAGUAUGGUCGCAAGGCUG
rnacentral:rRNA from 1 species